GGGGAUGUGGCUCAGUGGUAGAGUGCUCAUCUUGUAUGUGCAGGGCCCUGGGUUUGAUCCUCAGCACCACCU
rfam:Ictidomys tridecemlineatus contig001156, whole genome shotgun sequence.